AGAGUUUGAUCCUGGCUCAGAUUGAACGCUGGCGGCAGGCCUAACACAUGCAAGUCGAGCGGUAGAGAGAAGCUUGCUUCUCUUGAGAGCGGCGGACGGGUGAGUAAUGCCUAGGAAUCUGCCUAGUGGUGGGGGAUAACGUUCGGAAACGGACGCUAAUACCGCAUACGUCCUACGGGAGAAAGCGGGGGAUCUUCGGACCUCGCGCCAUUAGAUGAGCCUAGGUCGGAUUAGCUAGUUGGUGAGGUAAUGGCUCACCAAGGCGACGAUCCGUAACUGGUCUGAGAGGAUGAUCAGUCACACUGGAACUGAGACACGGUCCAGACUCCUACGGGAGGCAGCAGUGGGGAAUAUUGGACAAUGGGCGAAAGCCUGAUCCAGCCAUGCCGCGUGUGUGAAGAAGGUCUUCGGAUUGUAAAGCACUUUAAGUUGGGAGGAAGGGCAGUAACCUAAUACGUUAUUGUUUUGACGUUACCGACAGAAUAAGCACCGGCUAACUUCGUGCCAGCCGCCGCGGUAAUUC
rnacentral:rRNA from 1 species